rnacentral:rRNA from 1 species
GCAGUCGAACGCUUCUUUUUCCACCGGAGCUUGCUCCACCGGAAAAAGAAGAGUGGCGAACGGGUGAGUAACACGUGGGUAACCUGCCCAUCAGAAGGGGAUAACACUUGGAAACAGGUGCUAAUACCGUAUAACAAUCAAAACCGCAUGGUUUUGAUUUGAAAGGCGCUUUCGGGUGUCGCUGAUGGAUGGACCCGCGGUGCAUUAGCUAGUUGGUGAGGUAACGGCUCACCAAGGCCACGAUGCAUAGCCGACCUGAGAGGGUGAUCGGCCACAUUGGGACUGAGACACGGCCCAAACUCCUACGGGAGGCAGCAGUAGGGAAUCUUCGGCAAUGGACGAAAGUCUGACCGAGCAACGCCGCGUGAGUGAAGAAGGUUUUCGGAUCGUAAAACUCUGUUGUUAGAGAAGAACAAGGAUGAGAGUAACUGUUCAUCCCUUGACGGUAUCUAACCAGAAAGCCACGGCUAACUACGUGCCAGCAGCCGCGGUAAUACGUAGGUGGCAAGCGUUGUCCGGAUUUAUUGGGCGUAAAGCGAGCGCAGGCGGUUUCUUAAGUCUGAUGUGAAAGCCCCCGGCUCAACCGGGGAGGGUCAUUGGAAACUGGGAGACUUGAGUGCAGAAGAGGAGAGUGGAAUUCCAUGUGUAGCGGUGAAAUGCGUAGAUAUAUGGAGGAACACCAGUGGCGAAGGCGGCUCUCUGGUCUGUAACUGACGCUGAGGCUCGAAAGCGUGGGGAGCAAACAGGAUUAGAUACCCUGGUAGUCCACGCCGUAAACGAUGAGUGCUAAGUGUUGGAGGGUUUCCGCCCUUCAGUGCUGCAGCUAACGCAUUAAGCACUCCGCCUGGGGAGUACGACCGCAAGGUUGAAACUCAAAGGAAUUGACGGGGGCCCGCACAAGCGGUGGAGCAUGUGGUUUAAUUCGAAGCAACGCGAAGAACCUUACCAGGUCUUGACAUCCUUUGACCACUCUAGAGAUAGAGCUUCCCCUUCGGGGGCAAAGUGACAGGUGGUGCAUGGUGGUCGUCAGCUCGUGUCGUGAGAUGUUGGGUUAAGUCCCGCAACGAGCGCAACCCUUAUUGUUAGUUGCCAUCAUUCAGUUG